rfam:Schistosoma haematobium scaffold712_27, whole genome shotgun sequence.
AUUCAUCUGACGAGUCCCAAAAUAAGAAGAAACGCGCGUCCUGGAU